rnacentral:rRNA from 1 species
UACGGAGGGUGCGAGCGUUGUUCGGAAUUAUUGGGCGUAAAGAGCGUGUAGGCGGUCUCGUAAGUCAGAUGUGAAAUACCGUGGCUCAACCACGGAAGGGCAUCUGAAACUACGGGACUUGAGUACUGGAGAGGAGAGUAGAAUUCCCAGUGUAGAGGUGAAAUUCGUAGAUAUUGGGAGGAACACCGGUGGCGAAGGCGGCUCUCUGGACUGACACUGACGCUGAGACGCGAAAGCGUGGGGAG